AGGGGGCUAGCGUUGCUCGGAAUCACUGGGCGUAAAGCGCACGUAGGCGGCUUUCUAAGUCAGGGGUGAAAUCCUGGAGCUCAACUCCAGAACUGCCUUUGAUACUGGAGAGCUUGAGUCCGGGAGAGGUGAGUGGAACUCCGAGUGUAGAGGUGAAAUUCGUAGAUAUUCGGAAGAACACCAGUGGCGAAGGCGGCUCACUGGACUGGUAUUGACGCUGAGGUGCGAAAGCGUGGGGAGCAAACAGG
rnacentral:rRNA from 1 species